CAAAACUACGGUCUCAGUUCAGAUUGCAGGCUGCAACUCGCCUGCAUGAAGUUGGAAUUGCUAGUAAUCGCGAAUCAGAAUGUCGUGGUGAAUACGUUCCCGGGCCUUGUACACACCGCCCGUCACACCAUGAGAGUCGAUAACACCCGAAGCCUGUGAGCUAACCGUAAGGAGGCAGCAGUCGAAGGUGGGGUUGAUGAUUGGGGUGAAGUCGUAACAAGGUAGC
rnacentral:rRNA from 1 species